rnacentral:rRNA from 1 species
UUAUAUGAGAGUUUGAUCCUGGCUCAGGAUGAACGCCGGCGGUGUGCCUAAUACAUGCAAGUCGAACGCGUUGGCCCAAUUGAUUGAUGGUGCUUGCACCUGAUUGAUUUUGGUUGCCAGCGAGUGGCGGACGGGUGAGUAACACGUAGGUAACCUGCCCAGAAGCGGGGGACAACAUUUGGAAACAGAUGCUAAUACCGCAUAACAGCGUUGUUCGCAUGAACAACGCUUAAAAGAUGGCUUCUCGCUAUCACUUCUGGAUGGACCUGCGGUGCAUUAGCUUGUUGGUGGGGUAACGGCCUACCAAGGCGAUGAUGCAUAGCCGAGUUGAGAGACUGAUCGGCCACAAUGGGACUGAGACACGGCCCAUACUCCUACGGGAGGCAGCAGUAGGGAAUCUUCCACAAUGGGCGCAAGCCUGAUGGAGCAACACCGCGUGAGUGAAGAAGGGUUUCGGCUCGUAAAGCUCUGUUGUUAAAGAAGAACACGUAUGAGAGUAACUGUUCAUACGUUGACGGUAUUUAACCAGAAAGUCACGGCUAACUACGUGCCAGCAGCCGCGGUAAUACGUAGGUGGCAAGCGUUAUCCGGAUUUAUUGGGCGUAAAGAGAGUGCAGGCGGUUUUCUAAGUCUGAUGUGAAAGCCUUCGGCUUAACCGGAGAAGUGCAUCGGAAACUGGAUAACUUGAGUGCAGAAGAGGGUAGUGGAACUCCAUGUGUAGCGGUGGAAUGCGUAGAUAUAUGGAAGAACACCAGUGGCGAAGGCGGCUACCUGGUCUGCAACUGACGCUGAGACUCGAAAGCAUGGGUAGCGAACAGGAUUAGAUACCCUGGUAGUCCAUGCCGUAAACGAUGAGUGCUAGGUGUUGGAGGGUUUCCGCCCUUCAGUGCCGGAGCUAACGCAUUAAGCACUCCGCCUGGGGAGUACGACCGCAAGGUUGAAACUCAAAGGAAUUGACGGGGGCCCGCACAAGCGGUGGAGCAUGUGGUUUAAUUCGAAGCUACGCGAAGAACCUUACCAGGUCUUGACAUCUUGCGCCAACCCUAGAGAUAGGGCGUUUCCUUCGGGAACGCAAUGACAGGUGGUGCAUGGUCGUCGUCAGCUCGUGUCGUGAGAUGUUGGGUUAAGUCCCGCAACGAGCGCAACCCUUGUUACUAGUUGCCAGCAUUAAGUUGGGCACUCUAGUGAGACUGCCGGUGACAAACCGGAGGAAGGUGGGGACGACGUCAGAUCAUCAUGCCCCUUAUGACCUGGGCUACACACGUGCUACAAUGGACGGUACAACGAGUCGCGAACUCGCGAGGGCAAGCAAAUCUCUUAAAACCGUUCUCAGUUCGGACUGCAGGCUGCAACUCGCCUGCACGAAGUCGGAAUCGCUAGUAAUCGCGGAUCAGCAUGCCGCGGUGAAUACGUUCCCGGGCCUUGUACACACCGCCCGUCACACCAUGAGAGUUUGUAACACCCAAAGUCGGUGGGGUAACCUUUUAGGAGCCAGCCGCCUAAGGUGGGACAGAUGAUUAGGGUGAAGUCGUAACAAGGUAGCCGUAGGAGAACCUGCGGCUGGAUCACCUCCUUU